AUUUGUUUGACUCGCAGGGAAAGAAACUGGAUUUUAAAUAUUCUUUGCUGAAGUAUACAGGUGAAUGGAUUAUGUAGGGUGUCACUGUAUACAAAGUUUCCUCCCGCAAACCCGUCUUCCCAGGAGGACGGCCUGAGUAGCUGGAGGCGGCAUGAACUCUGAUCCCUUGGGUCACACACUAUGGACAAUGAGAGGCGGAGCUGGAGCUAGUCUGUAAGAAUAUUCUCCACAAGGCAGCACAGUCUUGGAUCUUUCAGAGUCCAGGGAUCCACUCAGAGAAUGAAGAGCUCACAUUAAAAGAUGAAAUAAGCUUGACUCUCACAGAACAUGAGUUUCAGUGCCCUCUUUGCCAUGGAUUGAGGGUCAUGGUCACAGGAAAGCAAUGGUCAGCUUUGGAAGCAAUAUUUCAGCAUUCCAUGGAGAGCAUAUUAGACGUAACUCCGGGGAUGUUAAAUGCCCACGUGUCCAAAAAAAAAAAAACGUUACAAGCUUUAAGCCAGCGGCUUGGAGCAGCCUCAAACACCAGUGCAGAUGUUGCCUCCUCGGAAGCUGGCUGCCUCACACCUGAAGGCCCCUCUGAGCAAGCUUCAGUCUAGUGGCCACAAAUCCCUCCUAAUGGGAUCCAAGUGAGAGAGGCGCUGCAAAAUGUAAGACGCACUCCGCAAGAACGCUGCAGGUAAAGGUCAGAUGCGUAAGAAACAUUUGCCCAGCCGGGGCAAAGCUGAUGCUAAUUUGCCUCAGGAACUUAAUAAAUGGCAACCGUGUGCUGAUGUUGGC